GCAGUCGAGCGAUGGAUUAAGAGCUUGCUCUUAUGAAGUUAGCGGCGGACGGGUGAGUAACACGUGGGUAACCUGCCCAUAAGACUGGGAUAACUCCGGGAAACCGGGGCUAAUACCGGAUAACAUUUUGAACYGCAUGGUKCGAAAUUGAAAGGCGGCUUCGGCUGUCACUUAUGGAUGGACCCGCGUCGCAUUAGCUAGUUGGUGAGGUAACGGCUCACCAAGGCAACGAUGCGUAGCCGACCUGAGAGGGUGAUCGGCCACACUGGGACUGAGACACGGCCCAGACUCCUACGGGAGGCAGCAGUAGGGAAUCUUCCGCAAUGGACGAAAGUCUGACGGAGCAACGCCGCGUGAGUGAUGAAGGCUUUCGGGUCGUAAAACUCUGUUGUUAGGGAAGAACAAGUGCUAGUUGAAUAAGCUGGCACCUUGACGGUACCUAACCAGAAAGCCACGGCUAACUACGUGCCAGCAGCCGCGGUAAUACGUAGGUGGCAAGCGUUAUCCGGAAUUAUUGGGCGUAAAGCGCGCGCAGGUGGUUUCUUAAGUCUGAUGUGAAAGCCCACGGCUCAACCGUGGAGGGUCAUUGGAA
rnacentral:rRNA from 1 species